UACGUAGGGUGCAGCGUAUCGAAUGAUCUGGGCGUAAAGCGUGCGCAGGCGGUGAUGUAAGACAGAUGUGAAAUCCCCGGGCUCAACCUGGGAACUGCAUUUGUGACUGCAUCGCUGGAGUGCGGCAGAGGGGGAUGGAAUUCCGCGUGUAGCAGUGAAAUGCGUAGAUAUGCGGAGGAACACCGAUGGCGAAGGCAAUCCCCUGGGCCUGCACUGACGCUCAUGCACGAAAGCGUGGGGAGCAAACAGG
rnacentral:rRNA from 1 species